rnacentral:rRNA from 1 species
AUGCUUGUAGAUCAUGAAAAGAAUGCUUUAUGUGAUGGUUAUAUUGUUGAAUUCAUUCAUGAUGCUACUAAAAAUUAUUAUGAGGGAGGAACAUAUUCUUGUAGGAAUUGCAACAAUACCAAGUUUCCUCUCUAUGUGCUUAAAGUUUUGAAGUUAUGCUUGUUUUGCCUUCCUAUGCUAGUUGAUUAUUGUUCCCAUAAGUUGUUUGCUCACAAAAUCCCUAUGCAUAGGAAGUGGGUUAGACUUAAAUUUGCUAGUCAUAUUCUUCAUGAUGCUCUCUUUAUGUUUCAAUUCUUAUCUUUUAUGUGA